rnacentral:rRNA from 1 species
GACGAACCGUGCGAACGUUAUUCGGAAUCACUGGGCUUAAAGGGCGCGUAGGCGGACUCGUUAGUCAGGGGUGAAAGCCCACGGCCCAACCGUGGAAGUGCCUUUGAUACUGCGAGUCUCGAGGGGGAUAGGGGCGUGCGGAACUCAGGGUGGAGCGGUGAAAUGCGUAGAUAUCCUGAGGAACACCGGUGGCGAAAGCGGCGCGCUGGAUCCCUUCUGACGCUGAGGCGCGAAAGCCAGGGGAGCAAACGGG